rnacentral:misc_RNA from 1 species
UCCGAGUUGUCCCCGGCAGUCCUCUUAGAGUCCCCGACAUAACUCGCUGGCAACUAAGAGCCGGGUUUGCGUCAGAGGAUUACUCCUCUGAGGGCCAUCUUCAGAUAGCCAUGCAGCACCUGUGCUAGCCCCUUGCGGACACGGGCUUUCACCCGCUUUAACUAGCAUGUCAAACCCAGGUAAGGUUCUUCGCGUUGCAUCGAAUUAAGCCACAUGCUCCGCCGCUUGUGCGGGUCCCCGUCAAUUCCUUUGAGUUUUAGCCUUGCGGCCGUACUCCCCAGGCGGAGUGCUUAAUGCGUUAGCUGCGGCACAGAGAGGGUUGAAGACCUCCCCACACCUAGCACUCAACGUUUACGGCUGGGACUAC